UAUGAACGCUGGCGGCGUGCCUAAUACAUGCAAGUCGAGCGAACGGACGAGAAGCUUGCUUCUCUGAUGUUAGCGGCGGACGGGUGAGUAACACGUGGAUAACCUACCUAUAAGACUGGGAUAACUUCGGGAAACCGGAGCUAAUACCGGAUGAUAUUUUGAACCGCAUGGUUCAAAAGUGAAAGACGGUCUUGCUGUCACUUAUAGAUGGAUCCGCGCUGCAUUAGCUAGUUGGUAAGGUAACGGCUUACCAAGGCAACGAUGCAUAGCCGACCUGAGAUGGUGAUCGGCCACACUGGAACUGAGACACGGUCCAGACUCCUACGGGAGGCAGCAGUAGGGAAUCUUCCGCAAUGGGCGAAAGCCUGACGGAGCAACACCGCGUGAGUGAUGAAGGUCUUCGGAUCUUAAAACUCUGUUAUUAGGGAAGAACAUAUGUGUAAGUAACUGUGCACAUCUUGACGGUACCUAAUCAGAAAGCCACGGCUAACUACGUG
rnacentral:rRNA from 1 species